rnacentral:rRNA from 1 species
UACGUAGGGGGCAAGCGUUGUCCGGAAUCAUUGGGCGUAAAGCGCGUGUAGGCGGCCCGAUAAGUCCGCUGUGAAAGUCCAGGGCUCAACCCUGGAAUGCCGGUGGAUACUGUCGGGCUCGAGUCCGGAAGAGGCGAGUGGAAUUCCUGGUGUAGCGGUGAAAUGCGCAGAUAUCAGGAGGAACACCGAUGGCGAAGGCAGCUCGCUGGGACGGUACUGACGCUGAGACGCGAAAGCGUGGGGGAACAAACAGG